GGAUUAGAUACCCUGGUAGUCCACGCCGUAAACGAUGAUAACUAGCUGUCUGGGUACUUGGUACUUAGGUGGCGCAGCUAACGCAUUAAGUUAUCCGCCUGGGGAGUACGGCCGCAAGGUUAAAACUCAAAGAAAUUGACGGGGGCCUGCACAAGCGGUGGAGCAUGUGGUUUAAUUCGAAGCAACGCGCAGAACCUUACCAACGUUUGACAUCCCUAUCGCGGUUACCAGAGAUGGUUUCCUUCAGUUCGGCUGGAUAGGUGACAGGUGCUGCAUGGCUGUCGUCAGCUCGUGCUG
rnacentral:rRNA from 1 species